CAUGCACACACCUCAAACCACACAACUUGUUCUUCAUUACAAUUAGUGUAGUAACCCGCGCGUUGCGGCGGGUAGAUACUAUUAAAAUAAAUUUAGUAUCUAACUAAUAUAUCAAAAGUUUGCUAUUAUUUUAAAAAUCAAAAUAGUCCAAAUAUAUUGGCUUCUUGCAAAAGUAUAUUAAUUUGCUCAAGCCGAUUAGUAACAAAAUGCUUAUAGAAAGAUAAUAAGUAUGUCAACCUAUUGAGCCAAAAAGCGACAUACUAUUUGGAAGAGAUUUAGAUAAAAAAAUAUU
rnacentral:lncRNA from 1 species